GGUGUCAGCUUCUUCAGGUGCGACCAGUAAGUCUUCCAGUAUGAAUCCCACAGAAACCAAGGCUGUAAAAACAGAACCUGAGAAGAAGUCACAAUGAACUAAGCCACCUGUGGUUCAUGAGAAAAAAAUCCCAAGAAGGAAAGCCAAAAGCACACACAGAGCAAAAAAGCUUACCCAAGCAUGCAUCAGAUACAGGAAGUAAACAUGCUCGUAAAGAAAAAGCAAUUUCCAGAGCAAGUGAACAAGAGCCAUCAGAGAAAUCAACAGAAUCAAAGACCAAAUGACAAGACAUGAUUUCUGUUGCUGGUGUAGCUGCAACAUCUGGCAAACCAGGUGACAAGAAGAAAGAAAAGAAACCAUUAACUCCAGCUGCACCAGUUGAAUCCAAACCACAUAAACCAUCUGGAAAGUCAGGCAUGGAUACUGCUUUGGACGACUUAACAGACACUUUAGGAGAACCUGAAGGACCUAAAGCAGACAGGACAACAUAUACCAGACCAGAAGUUUCAGAUCUGAUGAGUUCCACCUACAUAGAGGAAUUGGGUAAAAGAGAAGUCACAAUUCCUCCAAAAUAUAGGGAACUUUUGGCUAAAAAAAGAAGGGAUCACAGGUCCUCCUCCAGACUCUUCAAAACCCAUGGGGCCGGAUGAUGCCAUAGACGCCUUGUCAUCUGAUUCACCUGUAGUUCUCCUACUGCAGAUGGAAAGAAAACUGAAAAAGAGAAAUCUACAGGAGAGGUUUUAAAAGCUCAGUCAGCAGGGACAGUCAGAAGUGCUGUUCCACCCCAGGAGAAGAAAAGAAAGGUGGAGGAGGAUACAAUGAGUGAUCAAACACUUGAGGCUCUGUCAGCUUCACUGGGCACCCGGAAACCAGAACCUGAGCUCGACCUCAGCUCCCUUAAGGAAGUCGAUGAGGCAAAAGCUAAUGAAGAAAAACUAGAAAAGCGUGGUGAGGAUGACGACACAGUCCCACUGGAGUACAGAUUAAAACCAGCCAUGGAUAAAGAUGGGAAACCACUGUUGCCAGAGCCUGAAGAAAAAUCCAAGCUCCUAAGUGAAUCAGAACUCAUUGAUGAACUUUCAGAAGAUUUUGACUGGUCUAAAUGUAAAAGAAACAAUCUAAGCCAACUGAUGAAAAAACAAAAAAUCUAAGGCCGCUGCCCCAGCUCCUGUGGCAGAGGCUGUGCCUCGGACCUCCAUGUGUAGUCUACAGUCAGCACCACCCAAGCCAGCUGCUACCCCGAAGGGCAGGGUGCCAGAUGAUGCUGUAGAAGCCUUGGCUGGCAGCCUGGGGCAAAGGCCAGCAGAUCCAGAAGACGGAAAACUUGUGAUAGAUAAAGUCAAGGAUAAAGGCAAAGAAGAAGACCGUGAAAAACUUGGUGAAAAAGAAGAAACAAGUCCUCCUGAUUAUAGAUUAGAAGAAGUCAAGGAUAAAGAUGGAAAACCACUCCUGCCAAAAGAGCCCAAGGAACAGCUUCCACCCAUGAAUGAGGACUUCCUUCUUAAUGCUUUGUCUGAGGACUUCUCCGGUCCCCCAGACACUUCAUCUCUUGAAUUCAAAGAUGCUAAACUUUCUGCUGUCAUCUCUGAUGUGGUUUCCCAAACCCCAGCUUCAACCACUCACUCUGGAGCCCCACCCCGUGACACUUCACAGAGUGACAAAGAACUCGACGAUGCCUUGGAUAAACUCUCUGACAGUCUAGGACAGAGGCAGCCUGAUCCUGAUGAUAACAAACCAAUGGAGGAUAAAGUAAAGGAAAAAGCUAAAGCUGAAUAUAGGGACAAGCUUGAAGACAGAGAUGACACUAUCCCACCUGAAUACAGACAUCUCCUGGAUGGUGAUGGGAAGGACAAAUCUGUGAAGCCACCUACAAAGAAAUCAAAGGAAUCAAAGAAACCUGCAGGUGACAAAUGCCCUCUCAGGAGGGCACUGAUGCCCUCUCAGGAGAUUUUGACAGCUGUCCCUCAACUACAGAAACCUCACAGAACAAGCAAAGAAUAAGAGCAAGAAGACUGCUUCCAGUUCCAGAGCACCCAAGAAUGGAGGUAAAGCAAAGGAUUCAGCAAAGACAACAGAGGAAACUUCCAAGCCAAAAACUGAUGAAAAAAAUACAAGUUAAAGUUUAUACUCUUUGGUAUCUGCAUAUAAAAUCUUCAGCUAGUGAAUGGUGA